rnacentral:ncRNA from 2 species
GUCCGCGACACGGGGUGCUGCCCAUCCGGGCGGCUGAGAUCACACCCGUCGAACCUGAUCUGGGUAGUUCCAGCGAAGGAAUGUCGAUACAGCACUCG